UUCUUACAAUGAUGUCUUGGUUCAAUAAGGGUAUUCUUGCCCCCAGGAAGUUGAGCAGUCAUCAUGUUUAGAAAGAUUUCAUUCCUGAGACUCACAACAGACGUUUUGCUGAAAAUGCUUUACAAUCUCAGGGUGUCAUCAAAUUAAGUAUGAUUUCAAUGGAUGGAAACCCAACAAUUUUACACACAAUUACUUUGUGCAACAGGUGUGCGACAGGGAUUGAAGACGAACGAGAACUUUUUCACAUGACACUUGCUCAGUUUUACUGUACGCGGAUGCUCAUUUUCCAGAACAAACCACUUAGUCUUCUGUUCUGUCCUAAUUGCAGUCACCAAAUUGCAUGCGAUUGCCUUUUUGAUGGAAAGCCUUCAAAGUAGAAGCGGUCAUAGGUCAAACAAUAUAGAGUAAUUGCAAGGCCUAAAAUCUGUCUGUAUGCAUGUUUUCCUUUU